rnacentral:rRNA from 1 species
UACGGAGGGAGCUAGCGUUGUUCGGAAUUACUGGGCGUAAAGCGCGCGUAGGCGGCUUUGUAAGUUAGAGGUGAAAGCCCGGGGCUCAACCCCGGAAUUGCCUUUAAGACUGCAUCGCUUGAAUCCGGGAGAGGUGAGUGGAAUUCCGAGUGUAGAGGUGAAAUUCGUAGAUAUUCGGAAGAACACCAGUGGCGAAGGCGGCUCACUGGACCGGCAUUGACGCUGAGGUGCGAAAGCUAGGGGAGCAAACGGG